rnacentral:rRNA from 1 species
UGGGGAAUAUUGCACAAUGGGCGAAAGCCUGAUGCAGCAACGCCGCGUGAGUGAUGAAGGUCUUCGGAUUGUAAAGCUCUGUCUUUUGGGACGAUAAUGACGGUACCAAAGGAGGAAGCCACGGCUAACUACGUGCCAGCAGCCGCGGUAAUACGUAGGUGGCGAGCGUUGUCCGGAUUUACUGGGCGUAAAGGGUGCGUAGGCGGAUGUUUAAGUGAGAUGUGAAAUACCCGGGCUUAACUUGGGUGCUGCAUUUCAAACUGGAUAUCUAGAGUGCAGGAGAGGAGAAUGGAAUUCCUAGUGUAGCGGUGAAAUGCGUAGAGAUUAGGAAGAACACCAGUGGCGAAGGCGAUUCUCUGGACUGUAACUGACGCUGAGGCACGAAAGCGUGGGUAGCAAACAGGAUUAGAUACCCUGGUAGUCCACGCCGUAAACGAUGAGUACUAGGUGUAGGAGGUAUCGACCCCUU